UACGUAGGGUGCGAGCGUUAAUCGGAAUUACUGGGCGUAAAGCGUGCGCAGGCGGUUUUGUAAGCCAGAUGUGAAAUCCCCGGGCUUAACCUGGGAAUGGCAUUUGGGACUGCAAGGCUUGAGUGCGGCAGAGGAGACUGGAAUUCCUGGUGUAGCAGUGAAAUGCGUAGAUAUUGGGAGGAACACCAGUGGCGAAGGCGGCUCACUGGACCGGUACUGACGCUGAUGCGCGAAAGCAUGGGGGAGCGAACAGGA
rnacentral:rRNA from 1 species